rnacentral:rRNA from 1 species
UUGUACGAGUUGAGACUCGUAGCAGAUAGCUCAGUAACACGUGGCCAAACUACCCUAUAGAUCCAGACAACCUCGGGAAACUGAGGCUAAUCCGGAAUAGGGCUCUCAUCCUGGAGUGGAGAGAGCCUGAAACGCUCCGGCGCUAUAGGAUGUGGCUGCGGCCGAUUAGGUAGACGGUGGGGUAACGGCCCACCGUGCCAGUAAUCGGUACGGGUUGUGAGAGCAAGAGCCCGGAGACGGUAUCUGAGACAAGAUACCGGGCCCUACGGGGCGCAGCAGGCGCGAAACCUUUACACUGCACGCCAGUGCGAUAAGGGGACUCCAAGUGCGAGGGCAUAUAGUCCUCGCUUUUUGCGACCGUAAGGUGGUCGCGGAAUAAGUGCUGGGCAAGACCGGUGCCAGCCGCCGCGGUAAUACCGGCAGCACGAGUGAUGACCGCUGUUAUUGGGCCUAAAGCGUCCGUAGCUGGCCGCACAAGUCUAUCGGGAAAUCUCUCCGCUUAACGGAGAGGCGUCCGGUGGAAACUGUGUGGCUUGGGACCGGAAGACCAGAGGGGUACGUCUGGGGUAGGAGUGAAAUCCCGUAAUCCUGGACGGACCACCGGUGGCGAAAGCGCCUCUGGAAGACGGAUCCGACGGGUGAGGGACGAAAGCUCGGGGUCACGAACCGGAUUAGAUACCCCGGGUAGUCCGAGCUGUAAACGAUGUCUGCUAGGUGUGACACAGGCUACGAGCCUGUGUUGUGCCGUAGGGAAGCCGUGAAGCAGACCGCCUGGGAAGUACGUCCGCAAGGAUGAAACUUAAAGGAAUUGGCGGGGGAGCACUACAACCGGAGGAGCCUGCGGUUUAAUUGGACUCAACGCCGGACAUCUCACCAGCAUCGACAAUGUGCAGUGACGGUCAGUAUGAUGAGCUUACCUGAGCCAUUGAGAGGAGGUGCAUGGCCGCCGUCAGCUCGUACCGUGAGGCGUCCUGUUAAGUCAGGCAACGAGCGAGACCCGCACCCUUAAUUGCCAGCAGCACCCUUGUGGUGGCUGGGUACAUUAAGAGGACUGCCAGUGCCAAACUGGAGGAAGGAACGGGCAACGGUAGGUCAGUAUGCCCCGAAUGUGCUGGGCGACACGCGGGCUACAAUGGCCAAGACAGUGGGAUGCAACGCCGAAAGGCGACGCUAAUCUCCGAAACUUGGUCGUAGUUCGGAUUGAGGGCUGAAACUCGCCCUCAUGAAGCUGGAUUCGGUAGUAAUCGCGCCUCAGAAGGGCGCGGUGAAUACGUCCCUGCUCCUUGCACACACCGCCCGUCAAAGCACCCGAGUGGGGUCCGGAUGAGGCCCGGUUUCCGGGUCGAAUCUGGGCUCCG